GGGCUGGGGCCCGGGGGAGGCGUGAGUCGGAGCCCCCCAGCCAGGGCGCCGCGCGCAGACACCACGUGAGCCAGGAAGCCAACCAGCAGAAGCCACGUGUGCGGGGGCCGAGCUCGGGCCUCCAGCACGAGCAGAAACACCCCCGGGCUGCGGGCUUUGCUGCGGCCGCCUGAGCGGACUCGCACGGACGGCCACCUGCAGGUUUCAGGUGACAGACCGAUGGGGACACCGGCACAGGGCUGGGCUCCGAGCGUUCCUCACCCGGCAGGAGCGGAAGAGGGGAAUCCGUGUGUCGGAGCUCCGUGCGGAGGACAGAGGACGCCCGGGGCCCUGGGGCCUCCCGGGCAGGACACGGGAGAUGCACUAGUAUAGCAGCCACACCGGAGUCCCCGGGACAGGCAUGCCCACCGCCAUCAACAACCGGAAAACUGGACAAAGCACACGAGGCAGCUGUCUCCAGACCUCAGGCUGCAGGCACUGAGCAUGCUGCCCGGGGAGCUCACUGCGUGCACAGCUGUCUCCCUGAGCUGAGACGACGGAGAGCCGAGGUCGCGGAGGCAGAAUGUGCAAGGUGAGUCCCCCCGGGUCAGGGAUGGGAGUGGAUGAGGGGACCCCGCCGGGCUGAGCCAGGGAGAGCUGCCGGCGAGUUACAGCCAGCAAAUGCAGCCCCUUGAUGGCGGAACACCCCAUGUCCAGCAUCCAAUCACGCGGGAGUCGACGUGCAAAGAAGCAGGAGCAGUGGAGAAAACCCAGCAGAUAGAAACGCCCCAGGCAGCGUGGCUGCCGCCGGUGCCCACAGACCCUGGGGGGCUGAGACACCUGCCCAAGGCGGCCGCUGGAGGGGGGGCUGAGCAGAUGCGGUGAGUCCCAGAGCGCCACACAGCAGCACCGACAUUACAGGUGCCUGGAGGUGGGGUGCACGGUCUCCCCGAAUCCCAGCACCAAGUCAUCUCCUGCAGCAGCAGCAGCCCCAGCCUCAGGACCCCCCGUCACCGAGAUUCCAGCAGAACCGUUGGAAAGCCACCAGCUCGCCCUCAGAAACAGAUGAGGUCUGAGCUCAGACUUCCCAGCUUCCUGUCCCCGGGGCCCCGCACCCCGCGGGCGGGCUUGCACACUCGACAUCAGUGCAAAGCAUCCAGGCACAGCGGGCUGGGGCUUGUGUCUUUGGGGCCCCAUCCCUGUGGGGGGGUAGGCAGCAGUCGAGACAAAGGCAAGCGGUGAGCUGUUUUGUUCUCGGAGCAGGUUAGCUGCCCGUGUGCUUGGGGUGGGGGCAGCGAGAGUGCGUGUUGUGCGGACGGGGCCUUGUAGGGACGUUCCCCGUUAGGUGGCCUGUUGGGGGUUUAUUCUUGCAGCCCGGAGGCCCGAGGCCCCAGGUCCUCCUGAGGCUGCGAGGGAGACUGUCCCGGCCCCGCGUGGCUCCUAGUGCCGCGGUGUUCCUCCCCGGUCCCACGUGCCCCUCUCCCUGAGCACCGCUCCAUGCCGCUCGGUCUCUUCUUCGAAAACACCGGUCAUGGGGUCAGGGGCCACCCCAAUCCACUAAGGCCUCACCUUAACUACUCACACCCGCCAAGAUCGGUUUCCACGUAAGGUCACCUUCACAGAGCCUUGGGGCUUGAACACCUCUCUGGUGGAUUUAAUUCUACUCGGCUGUUACGGCCUGAAUGUUUGUGCUCCCCCAAAACUCACGUGUUGAAACCUACCCCCACGUGAUGUCGGGAGCUGGGGCCCCUGGGGGCAAUGAGGUUGUGAGCAUGGGGCCCAGAGAGGGAGCUGUCCCUGUAACAGAGGCCCCCGCAGAGCCCAGCCCCUUCCGUGCCGCGUGGACACUGCGAGAAGGCAGCUACGUCCUGGAAGACGGCUCUCACUGGACCCGGACCGUGCUGGGUCCUGACCCGGAUCUCUGCUCCGAGCUGUGAGAAAGAGGUGUGCUGUUUAUAGGCCGGUCUGUGGCCUUCUGUUACGGCACCCCGAACACACGCAGACCCAGCACAGGAGGCUUUCUCCGGAAGGGAGGCACAGACGACCCCACCGUGCCCCCCAAGGUCACCUCAGAAGGUCACUGUGCUCAGGGAGGGGCCCUUACAGAGGCGAUUCAGGGGUCAGCCAUCACCCACUCUGCCGUCCUUGACAGAUACACGUUUUUUUCUUCCCUUCUCGCUGGUGUUUUUACUCAGUGAAUAUAGUCUAGCCUCUUCUUCUGACAAAGUAGGUCAAGACUGAAGCAAGUCUUCUGGAAGACCGAAAAAGCCUCAGAGUCGGCCAACGUCGGUGACAACCCCAGGCACACCCAGCCCCAUGGGGCACAGCCCCACGUGCGGGCCAGAGAAGACCCUGGGGUCUGGGUGCCCACCACUGGUCAGGGCCCCCCCCACGGUGCCACGAGCGGGGACGCAGGGCACACAAAUCCCAGCCCGGAGGCAAGAGACAGCCGUUCAACAGUUCACUGAGUACAUGGCGGGUUGAAAUCCGUUGGCAGCACAAGUCUGGGGGGGCGGAGGGGGCGCAAAUCUUCCAGGAGGAGUCGGUGUUUGAGCUGCAACUGGGGACCCAAGCAGGGUUGGCUCCUUGAUGCGGGAUGGGGGGCAGGGAGGAUGGAACGUUCCAGAAGGCCCAUGCCAGGCCGUGUGUGGUGGGAGGUGCCAGGCGGAGAGGCUGGCAGAGCCCUGGGGAACCCCAGCAUUUAGAAGUCAGGGAGACAAGGACGAGCUGGGCAGAGCGGAGGUCAGAAGGGGAGUCACGGACGCUGAGGGCCUGAAUGUCUGAAGGAACCCGCCCCACCAUACUGGCGGUGCAGGAAGACAGCGACAGGCGGUCUCGGUGCCACACGGGGGGGGCAGCGGGGCACGCAGAGGCAGGAGGCGGCCCCUCGAAGUGAGCACCGUGAGGUGUCAGAGACCCGGCCGUCGCAGCCCGUGGAGGUGGCGUGAGACCCCCUACACCUGGGACAGCUGGCGCACGGCCAUGUCCUCGGGACUCUGACGAGGAGCAGGAGGAAGGAGGGAAACGCAGCAGGGAGCCCCCGACGAAGCAAGAGAGGGGGCGCCCAGGAUCCGUGAACAGUGCUGCCGACGGGAGAGAACGUGGCAUUUCCCGUGGUGGCCACUGCCCUCCUUCUGGCAAAUAGAACCCUGACUUUGUCCAGGACAGGGGAGGGAUGGGGGUUACCUCACAGCACAGAGUGAGAACACUGCCUGGCCACAAUCAGUGGCCGUGAAAGGACCCUCAGCAGGACACCUCCCGGGGGACCACACGUGGGAGAUGGACACAGCCUCCACCUGACCCUGGCUCAGUGAGCCCACAGACCUGGAACAACCUCCCACAUAUGAAGGCAGCCUGCACCCCAAACUAGGUCAAUGGCAAAGCACUCUUUCUCCAAAGGCAGCUUGGAUUUAUAAUGCAUGUUGUAUUGAUUGAAAGAAAUGCUCCUCCCUCUUGUGGAUUUCUGGGGUACUUGGGUUGAGGAAUUUGUGAUUUUUAUAACCCUCAUUAAAUUCUUACUUUUCACUUUCACGGUCUC